GGCACUAUGGCGGAGUGGUUAUCGCGCAGCCCUCGAAUGAAAGGCUGUUCCCUCGGGAGCAAGAGUUCGAAUCUCUUUGGUGUCG